GGGGAAUAUUGGGCAAUGGAGGAAACUCUGACCCAGCAACGCCGCGUGAAUGAUGAAGGUCUUCGGAUUGUAAAGUUCUUUUCUAAGGGAAGAAGAAAGUGACGGUACCUUAGGAAUAAGCCUCGGCUAACUAC
rnacentral:rRNA from 1 species